UACAGAGGUCUCAAGCGUUGUUCGGAUUCAUUGGGCGUAAAGAGCUCGUAGGCGGCUUGUCACGUCGGGUGUGAAAGACCGGGGCUUAACUCCGGUUCUGCAUUCGAUACGGGCUAGCUAGAGUGUGGUAGGGGAGAUCGGAAUUCCUGGUGUAGCGGUGAAAUGCGCAGAUAUCAGGAGGAACACCGGUGGCGAAGGCGGAUCUCUGGGCCAUUACUGACGCUGAGGAGCGAAGGCGUGGGGAGCGAACAGG
rnacentral:rRNA from 1 species